GUUGGCUAUGAUGACAAACUUGCCCUCUCUGAGAGAGCAGCUCUAUUAUGACAAUCAAGUUAACGUUCUGAGCCAGC